rnacentral:rRNA from 1 species
CCUACGGGUGGCAGCAGUGAGGAAUAUUGGUCAAUGGGCGCGAGCCUGAACCAGCCAAGUAGCGUGAAGGAUGACUGCCCUACGGGUUGUAAACUUCUUUUAUAAAGGAAUAAAGUGAGGCACGUGUGCCUUUUUGCAUGUACUUUAUGAAUAAGGAUCGGCUAACUUCGGGCCAGCAGCCCCGGUAAUACGGAGGAUCCGAGCGUUAGCCGGACUUAUUGGGUUUAAAGGGAGCGUAGAUGGGUUGUUAAGUCAGUUGUGAAAGUUUGCGGCUCAACCGUAAAAUUGCAAUUGAUACUGGCAGUCUUGAGUACAGUUGAGGUAGGCGGAAUUCGUGGUGUAGCGGUGAAAUGCUUAGAUAUCACGAAGAACUCCGAUUGCGAAGGCAACUUACUAAACUGCCACUGACAUUGAUGCUCGAAAGUGUGGGUAUCGAACGGGAUUAGAUACCCCUGUAGUC